GACGAACGCUGGCGGCGCGCUUAACACAUGCAAGUCGAGCGAGAACCAGGACUUCGGCCCUGGGGACAGCGGCGAACGGGUGAGUAACACGUGGGUAAUCUGCCCUCGGUUCCGGGAUAGCCCGGGGAAACUCGGAUUAAUACCGGAUAGCCUCACGAGCCUUCGGGGGAGUGAGAAAAGGUAGCUUUGGCCUCUGACCGAGGAUGAGCCCGCGGUGGAUUAGCUUGUUGGCGGGGUAACGGCCCACCAAGGCGACGAUCCAUAGCUGGUCUGAGAGGACGAUCAGCCACACUGGGACUGAGACACGGCCCAGACUCCUACGGGAGGCAGCAGUGGGGAAUCUUGCGCAAUGGGCGAAAGCCUGACGCAGCGACGCCGCGUGGGGGAAGAAGGCCUUAGGGUUGUAAACCUCUUUCAGGUGGGACGAAGCCACUCGGGUUAAUAGCCCCAGAGGGUGACGGUACCGCCAGAAGAAGCCCCGGCUAACUACGUGCCAGCCG
rnacentral:rRNA from 1 species